CAGCCGCCGCGGUAAUACGUAGGUGGCAAGCGUUGUCCGGAAUUAUUGGGCGUAAAGCGCGCGCAGGUGGUUUAAUAAGUCUGACGUGAAAGCCCCCGGCUUAACUGGGGAGGGUCAUUGGAAACUGGGAGACUUAGAGUGCAGAAGAGGAGAGUGGAAUUCCAUGUGUAGCGGUGAAAUGCGUAGAGAUGUGGAGGAACACCAGUGGCGAAGGCGACUCUCUGGUCUGUAACUGACGCUGAGGAGCGAAAGCGUGGGGAGCGAACAGGAUUAGAGACCCCUGUAGUCCCUGUCUCUUAUU
rnacentral:rRNA from 1 species